CAGGUUUAAAUAUAGAGUAAUCACAUGUCCCAGAAAUUCCACACUUCGGGGUUGUAGAAAGAGGCAGGACACUGCUAGCAGCUAUGGCCUCACUUGCAGAGAUGGAUAUGAUGCUGAUGGUAACACGGAUGUCUCUUUGGAGAAAUGAUUUGAUCGGGCAGUAGAGAAACAGACAAAGGAUUUGCCUCUGAAAGAUUGCUCUGCUAUCGGCUGCUAUUUCUCUUUGCUAAGGUGGCAGCGAUCCUUCACUGUGGCAGUGGUGCGGAUUUAAAGGGGCUGGAUUGUAAAUGGAAGUGCUUGCCAUUGAAUACCAUAAUGUGCCUCGUGAUUACCACUUAUUCCUUCAUGGGCUUCUACUACCCUUAAAUUUAGUCGUCUGUCUCCUUUUAGUGAAGAAUUGUGUCAGCAUUUCUUUGUCUACUUCGGCAUUAGCCCAUGUAUCAUGCAUUUAUUAUCCAUUUGUGCCUGUAUCACCGUCUGUCUUUAAAAGUGACAAUUUAUUUUGAAACCCCUUGUAACAAUAUUUAACCACUGAACCUUCUAAUGACUUCCUCUGCCCGACAAGCCAAGCGCAUUCAGAGUUGGGGGAAAGCCUGGUGCAUGAAAACCGAAUUGAAAUGGCAAAUGACUGCACCUUUCCCACUAAAUAGCCUGCCUAAUGGAUAGCACCAAAAGAAAACCCAGCGCCUGUGUCUACAGCAAGGA